GCUAGGCAUGGUGGCGCAUGCCUGUAAUCCCAGUGGCUUAGGAGGCCGAGACAGGAGGAUUAUGAGUUCAAAGCCAGACUCAGCAACUCAGCAAGGCCCUAAACAACACAGCAAGACCUUGUCAU
rnacentral:sRNA from 1 species